rnacentral:rRNA from 1 species
AAUCAACGCUGGCGGCGUGCCUAACACAUGCAAGUCGAACGAGAAAGUGUAGCAAUACAUGAGUACAGUGGCGACCGGGUGAGUAACACGUGACUAACCUACCUUCUUGUGGGGAAUAACCUUCCGAAAGGAGGGCUAAUACCGCAUAACAUCGCGAGGUGAGAUUCCUUGUGAUCAAAGGAGUGAUUCGCAGGAAGAGGGGGUCGCGGCUGAUUAGCUAGUUGGUGAGGUAACGGCCCACCAAGGCAGUGAUCAGUAUCCGGCCUGAGAGGGCGCACGGACACACUGGAACUGAAACACGGUCCAGACUCCUACGGGAGGCAGCAGUGGGGAAUUUUGCGCAAUGGGGGAAACCCUGACGCAGCAACGCCGCGUGGAGGAUGAAGGUCUUUGGAUUGUAAACUCCUUUCGAUCGGGACGAUGAUGACGGUACCGGAAGAAGAAGCACCGGCUAACUCUGUGCCAGCCGCCGCGGUAAAAC